rnacentral:rRNA from 1 species
AUUGAACGCUGGCGGCAGGCCUAACACAUGCAAGUCGAGCGGAUGAAGGGAGCUUGCUCCUGGAUUCAGCGGCGGACGGGUGAGUAAUGCCUAGGAAUCUGCCUGGUAGUGGGGGAUAACGUCCGGAAACGGGCGCUAAUACCGCAUACGUCCUGAGGGAGAAAGUGGGGGAUCUUCGGACCUCACGCUAUCAGAUGAGCCUAGGUCGGAUUAGCUAGUUGGUGGGGUAAAGGCCUGCCAAGGCGACGAUCCGUAACUGGUCUGAGAGGAUGAUCAGUCACACUGGAACUGAGACACGGUCCAGACUCCUACGGGAGGCAGCAGUGGGGAAUAUUGGACAAUGGGCGAAAGCAUGAUCCAGCCAUGCCGCGUGUGUGAAGAAGGUCUUCGGAUUGUAAAGCACUUUAAGUUGGGAGGAAGGGCAGUAAGUUAAUACCUUGCUGUUUUGACGUUACCAACAGAAUAAGCACCGGCUAACUUCGUG